UUUUUGUAAAAAACUGAGAUU
rnacentral:piRNA from 1 species